UACGUAGGGUGCAAGCGUUAAUCGGAAUUACUGGGCGUAAAGCGUGCGCAGGCGGUGAUGUAAGACAGUUGUGAAAUCCCCGGGCUCAACCUGGGAACUGCAUCUGUGACUGCAUCGCUGGAGUGCGGCAGAGGGGGAUGGAAUUCCGCGUGUAGCAGUGAAAUGCGUAGAUAUGCGGAGGAACACCGAUGGCGAAGGCAAUCCCCUGGGCCUGCACUGACGCUCAGUGCACGAAAAGCGUGGGGAGCAAACAGG
rnacentral:rRNA from 1 species